CCUACGGGUGGCUGCAGUGGGGAAUAUUGCACAAUGGGGGAAACCCUGAUGCAGCGACGCCGCGUGAGCGAUGAAGUAUCUCGGUAUGUAAAGCUCUAUCAGCAGGGAAGAAAAUGACGGUACCUGACUAAGAAGCCCCGGCUAACUACGUGCCAGCAGCCGCGGUAAUACGUCGGCGGCAAGCGUUAUCCGGAUUUACUGGGUGUAAAGGGAGCGUAGACGGUACUGCAAGUCAGAUGUGAAAGCCCGGGGCUCAACCCCGGGACUGCAUUUGAAACUGUAAGGCUGGAGUGUCGGAGAGGCAGGCGGAAUUCGUGGUGUAGCGGUGAAAUGCGUAGAUAUCAGGAGGAACACCAGUGGCGAAGGCGGCCUACUGGACGGUGACUGACGUUGAGGCUCGAAAGCGUGGGGAGCAAACAGGAUUAGAUACCCUUGUAGUC
rnacentral:rRNA from 1 species